GUGGACCAGCCAGAUGAACUUGAGUGUGACCCAGGAAACAGGGAACAGAAGUGAAAGCAGGCAGAGGUAAAAUGAAGGGCUGGAGAAACAAGCUGGUAAAAAACACACACACAACAUGGAGUGAAAACUGCUCCGUCGUGUCCGACUUUUGGGGACCCCAAGGACACAGUCCAUGGAAUUCACCAGGCCAGAAUACUGGAGUGGGUAGCCUUUCCAGUCUCCAGGGGAUCUUCCCAACCCAGGGAUCGAACCCUGGUCUCCCACAUUGCAGGCGGAUUCUUUACCAGCUGAGCCACAAGGGAAGCCCCAGCACAUGGAGAGACUGGAUUAAAACGAACGUGGGAAACAGGUGACAGUAGGAAACAUGGAUUUGGUUAGAAGGGCUCAGAUAUACGUGACAGCAGUCACAGCUCAGCUGGACAAGGGUUUAUCAUGUUUGGCACCAUGACCCUGAAGCUCCUAUUUGCAAGGGGAAAAUCCUUUCUUGAAGAUUUCCUAUCAUCAGGUGUGCACGCAAGAGAAGAGGAAGUCACGGGGAGCAUUUCCGUCAUCUUGCAAAUCAUUGUCUGCCUUCCAGGAAUUUCAUCUCCAGGAGAGCAAAAAUCCACAGGUGAACUCUGAUGAUGCCCUGGUCUGGAACCAUUCUACAGAGAAUGAAAGGCCCAGGCAGCAGUUUGUAACUGAACAGCUGACAUCUUUUUUCCUUCCACUAGAGAAGGCAAAGGAGAUGUAAAUUUUCUUUUUCAGGAGGUGGGGGCUGCUCAGCUUGUAGGGUCUUAGUUCCCUGACCAGGGAUUGAACCUGUGCCCCUUUCAAUGGAAGUCUUAACCACUGGACCACCAGGGAAGUCCCUCCCAUCAGUUUUCCGUCACCUUGAUUUCCAGUCCUUUACUGAUAUGCUGGAGACAUAUUUGCCUGGAGACCUGAGUAUAUGUGCACAGGGGGCUGGGUAAAAGACUUUCACAGCAACACUGUUCAUCACAACAACAACAAAUCAGAACAACACAAAUGUGCAUCAGCAGGAA